rnacentral:rRNA from 1 species
AACGAACGCUGGCGGCAUGCCUAACACAUGCAAGUCGAACGAAGCCUUCGGGCUUAGUGGCGCACGGGUGCGUAACACGUGGGAAUCUGCCCUUCGGUUCGGAAUAACAGUUAGAAAUGACUGCUAAUACCGGAUGAUGACGAAAGUCCAAAGAUUUGUCGCCGAAGGAUGAGCCCGCGUAGGAUUAGGUAGUUGGUAGGGUAAUGGCCUACCAAGCCGACGAUCCUUAGCUGGUCUGAGAGGAUGAUCAGCCACACUGGGACUGAGACACGGCCCAGACUCCUACGGGAGGCAGCAGUGGGGAAUAUUGGACAAUGGGCGAAAGCCUGAUCCAGCAAUGCCGCGUGAGUGAUGAAGGCCUUAGGGUUGUAAAGCUCUUUUACCAGGGAUGAUAAUGACAGUACCUGGAGAAUAAGCUCCGGCUAACUCCGUGCCAGCAGCCGCGGUAAU